rnacentral:rRNA from 1 species
UACAGGGGGUGCUAGCGUUGUUCGGAAUUACUGGGCGUAAAGGGCGCGUAGGCGGUUCGGCAAGUCACGUGUGAAAUCUCCACGCUCAACGUGGAGGCGCCACGUGAGACUGCUGUGACUCGAGUCCGGUAGGGGAGCGUGGAAUUCCCGGUGUAGCGGUGAAAUGCGCAGAGAUCGGGAGGAACACCCGUAGCGAAGGCGGCGCUCUGGGCCGGUACUGACGCUGAGGAGCGAAAGCGUGGGGAGCGAACAGG